rnacentral:rRNA from 1 species
GGUCAAGCGAAUAAGCGCACACGGUGGAUGCCUUGGCGGUCAGAGGCGAUGAAGGACGUGGCAGCCUGCGAAAAGUAUCGGGGAGCUGGCAACAAGCUUUGAUCCGGUAAUGUCCGAAUGGGGAAACCCACCCGCUUGCGGGUAUCCUGCAGUGAAUACAUAGCUGCUGGAAGCGAACCUGGUGAACUGAAAUAUCUAAGUAACCAGAGGAAAAGAAAUCAACCGAGAUUCCGUAAGUAGCGACGAGCGAACGCGGACUAGCCCUUAAGCUGAUUUGGUUCUAGGAAAACGCUCUGGAAAGAGCGGCCAUAGAAGGUGAUAGCCCUGUAUCUGAAAGGGCCAUUUCAGUGAAGACGAGUAGGGCGGGGCACGUGAAACCCUGUCUGAACAUGGGGGGACCAUCCUCCAAGGCUAAAUACUACUGACCGACCGAUAGUGAACCAGUACCGUGAGGGAAAGGCGAAAAGAACCCCGGAGAGGGGAGUGAAAUAGAACCUGAAACCGUGUGCGUACAAGCAGUAGGAGCUCCGCAAGGAGUGACUGCGUACCUUUUGUAUAAUGGGUCAGCGACUUACUGUUCGUGGCAAGCUUAACCGUAUAGGGGAGGCGAAGGGAAACCGAGUCUGAUAAGGGCGCAUAGUCGCGGGCAGUAGACCCGAAACCGGGUGAUCUAGUCAUGCCCAGGGUGAAGGUGCGGUAACACGCACUGGAGGCCCGAACCCACUCCCGUUGCAAAGGUAGGGGAUGAGGUGUGAUUAGGAGUGAAAAGCUAAUCGAACCCGGAGAUAGCUGGUUCUCCUCGAAAGCUAUUUAGGUAGCGCCUCAUAUGUAUCCUCUCGGGGGUAGAGCACUGUUAUGGCUAGGGGGUCAUCGCGACUUACCAAACCAUUGCAAACUCCGAAUACCGAGACGGACUGUAUGGGAGACACACGGCGGGUGCUAACGUCCGUCGUGAAAAGGGAAACAACCCAGACCCACAGCUAAGGUCCCAAAUUUUGUGCUAAGUGGAAAACCAUGUGGAAAGGCACAGACAGCCAGGAGGUUGGCUUAGAAGCAGCCACCCUUUAAAGAAAGCGUAAUAGCUCACUGGUCGAGUCGGUCUGCGGGGAAGAUUUAACGGGGCUAAGCACAGAACCGAAGCUUGGGGUGCAUACUUUGUAUGCGCGGUAGAGGAGCGUUCCGUAAGCCGUUGAAGGUGGAUUGAGAAGUCUGCUGGAGGUAUCGGAAGUGCGAAUGCUGACAUGAGUAACGAUAAUGCGGGUGAAAAACCCGCACGCCGAAAGCCCAAGGUUUCCUUGCGCAACGUUAAUCGGCGCAGGGUGAGUCGGCCCCUAAGGCGAGGACGAAAGUCGUAGUCGAUGGGAAGCAGGUUAAUAUUCCUGCACCUCGCGUAAGUGCGAUGGAGGGACGGAGAAGGUUAGGUGUACCAGGCGUUGGUUGUCCUGGGGAAAGGCGGUAGGUUUGGAUCUUUGGCAAAUCCGGGAUCCUCUAAGACCGAGCACCGAGACGAGCCUUUAUGGCGAAGUCACUGAUACCACGCUUCCAGGAAAAGCUCCUAAGCUUCAGCUUACGCAGACCGUACCGUAAACCGACACAGGUGGGUAGGAUGAGAAUUCUCAGGCGCUUGAGAGAACUCGGGUGAAGGAACUAGGCAACAUGGCACCGUAACUUCGGGAGAAGGUGCACCCUUUUUGGUGGCUCGUGCGAGCUAUAGCUGAAGAGGGUCGCAGUAACCAGGCCGCUGCGACUGUUUAUCAAAAACACAGCACUCUGCAAACACGAAAGUGGACGUAUAGGGUGUGACGCCUGCCCGGUGCUGGAAGGUUAAUUGAUGGGGUCAGCCGCAAGGCGAAGCUCUUGAUCGAAGCCCCAGUAAACGGCGGCCGUAACUAUAACGGUCCUAAGGUAGCGAAAUUCCUUGUCGGGUAAGUUCCGACCUGCACGAAUGGCGUAACGACAGCGGCGCUGUCUCCACCCGAGACUCAGUGAAAUUGAAAUCGCUGUGAAGAUGCAGCGUUCCCGUGGCAAGACGGAAAGACCCCGUGAACCUUUACUAUAGCUUUACACUGAACGUUGAGUUCGUCUGUGUAGGAUAGGUGGGAGGCUAUGAAACCAUGGCGCUAGCUGUGGCGGAGCCAUCCUUGAAAUACCACCCUGUCGUGCUUGACGUUCUAACCUGGGCCCAUUAUCUGGGUCGGGGACCGUGUAUGGUGGGUAGUUUGACUGGGGCGGUCUCCUCCUAAAGAGUAACGGAGGAGCUCGAAGGUACGCUCAGCGCGGUCGGACAUCGCGCACUGUGUGCAAAGGCAUAAGCGUGCUUGACUGCAAGAUCGACGGAUCAAGCAGGUAGGAAACUAGGACUUAGUGAUCCGGUGGUUCUGUAUGGAAGGGCCAUCGCUCAACGGAUAAAAGGUACUCCGGGGAUAACAGGCUGAUACCGCCCAAGAGUUCAUAUCGACGGCGGUGUUUGGCACCUCGAUGUCGGCUCAUCACAUCCUGGGGCUGUAGUCGGUCCCAAGGGUAUGGCUGUUCGCCAUUUAAAGUGGUACGCGAGCUGGGUUCAGAACGUCGUGAGACAGUUCGGUCCCUAUCUGCCAUGGGCGUUGGAGAUUUGAGAGGGGCUGCUCCUAGUACGAGAGGACCGGAGUGGACGAACCUCUGGUGUUCCGGUUGUCACGCCAGUGGCAUUGCCGGGUAGCUAUGUUCGGAAGCGAUAACCGCUGAAAGCAUCUAAGCGGGAAGCGCGCCUCAAGAUGAGAUCUCCCGGGGCACAAGCCCCCUGAAGGAACCAUGUAGACUACGUGGUUGAUAGGUCAGGUGUGUAAGUACAGCAAUGUAUUGAGCUAACUGAUACUAAUGAUCCGAGAGGCUUGACCAU